UACAGAGGGGGCAAGCGUUAUUCGGAAUUAUUGGGCGUAAAGGGCGCGUAGGCGGCUUUGCAAGUGGCGGGUGAAAUCCCUCGGCUUAACCGAGGAACUGCCUGUCAAACUGCAUGGCUUGAGACCGGGAGAGGUGAGUGGAAUUCCCAGUGUAGCGGUGAAAUGCGUAGAUAUUGGGAGGAACACCAGUGGCGAAGGCGGCUCACUGGACCGGUACUGACGCUGAGACGCGAAAGCGUGGGGAGCGAACAGG
rnacentral:rRNA from 1 species